rnacentral:ncRNA from 2 species
GGAUAUGCGUCAUGUGUGGCCGUUGUUUGAAACUUUUUUCAAUGCGUGCAGCGGACGGGGAAUGCCGUGAGAACCGGCGACAGUCGCGCUGCGGUAUCGGGUUACAAGCCUUCAUCGAGUGCGCCUGCACGCCGGUCGUUUAUCGGCCGGAUGUGUCUGGCGCGUGGCGAACAAAGCACAGCGGCGUGGUGCGUCUCACCGCGCAGCCAAGGCGAGAGGUGAGGAUGCGAAUGUAGUGGAUGACACAAUACGACGUGCCACCGCGCGAUUCGCGGGAAACCCGGAGUCCGAAUACCCGGCUGCACGUACGAUCCCGG